rnacentral:misc_RNA from 1 species
AACAAGGCGUACCUGCGGACCUGCGGAAGGAUCAUUACCGAGUUUACAACUCCCAAACCCCUGUGAACAUACCACUUGUUGCCUCGGCGGAUCAGCCCGCUCCCGGUAAAACGGGACGGCCCGCCAGAGGACCCCUAAACUCUGUUUCUAUAUGUAACUUCUGAGUAAACCAUAAAUAAAUCAAAACUUUCAACAACGGAUCU